CGAGGGUUUGAUCCCGGCUCAGAAUCAACGCUGGCGGCGCGCUUAACACAUGCAAGUCGCACGAGAAAGGGAGCAAUCCUAAGUAAAGUGGCGUACGGGUGAGUAACACGUGGAUCAUCUACCUUCUAGUGGGGAAUACCUCCGGGAAACUGGAGACAAUACCGCAUAAGCUCGAAAGAGGAAAGCAGCAAUGCGCUGGAAGAGGAGUCCGCGGUCGAUUAGCUAGAUGGUGAGGUAAUGGCUCACCAUGGCGAAGAUCGAUAGCCGGCCUGAGAGGGCUCACGGCCACACUGGCACUGAAACACGGGCCAGACUCCUACGGGAGGCAGCAGUGGGGAAUCUUGCACAAUGGAGGAAACUCUGAUGCAGCGACGCCGCGUGAGUGAUGAAGCCCUUCGGGGUGUAAAGCUCUUUCGACAGGAACGAUAAUGACGGUACCUGAAGAAGAAGCUGCGGCUAACUUAGCGGUGAAAUGCAUAGAUAUGUCACAGAACACCAAUUGCGAAGGCAGCUUACUAUGGUGUCAUUGACACUGAGGCACGAAAGCGUGGGGAUCAAACAGGAUUAGAUACCCUGGUAGUCCACGCCCUAAACGAUGAAUACUCGAUGUUGGCGAUAUACGGUCAGCGUCUAAGCGAAAGCGUUAAGUAUUCCACCUGGGGAGUACGCCCGCAAGGGUGAAACUCAAAGGAAUUGACGGGGGCCCGCACAAGCGGAGGAGCAUGUGGUCUAAUUCGAUGAUACGCGAGGAACCUUACCCGGGCUUGAAAGUUAGUGAAUUGAGCAGAGACGCUCAAGUCCUUCGGGACACGAAACUAGGUGCUGCAUGGCUGUCGUCAGCUCGUGCCGUGAGGUGUUGGGUUAAGUCCCGCAACGAGCGCAACCCCUAUGUUUAGUUGCCAGCACGUCAAGGUGGGGACUCUAAACAGACUGCCUAUGCAAAUAGAGAGGAAGGAGGGGACGACGUCAAGUCAUCAUGGCCCUUACGUCCGGGGCUACACACGUGCUACAAUGGGCAGUACAGAGGGCAGCUACCUGGCAACAGGAUGCCAAUCUCAUAAAGCUGUUCACAGUUCGGAUCGGGGUCUGCAACUCGACCCCGUGAAGUUGGAUUCGCUAGUAAUCGCGUAUCAGCAAUGACGCGGUGAAUACGUUCCCGGGCCUUGUACACACCGCCCGUCAAGCCAUGGAAGCUGGAAGUGCCUGAAGUGCGUAACCGCAAGGAGCGUCCUAGGGUAAAGUCGGUAACUGGGGCUAAGUCGUAACAAGGUA
rnacentral:rRNA from 1 species